UGUACUUUUAGAGUAUAUUUAAAGAUGUGUACUUUUACUCUUACUCAAGUACAUUUUUAGUGAAAUUUUUUACUUUUAAUUCGCUACAUUUGGCUGCGUUCCUCCGUUACUGUCAAAUGGUAAUAAAUAUGAGAUUUUUUAAAUAAUUAGUUUCUAUGACUUGUUCGCAAGUCUCGCGAGACGUUGGAGAGGCUGUUACGCAUCUCCCGCUCAGGUUUAGCGCGCGUGUAGGUGGAAGAUGAUGGCUGAAGCAGAGGGAGACGUGCGCGAGACCCGUGGCCUCAAGUUCAGUCUGUUUUCACUCCAAGAUGCCAAAAAGAAUAGUUUCAUAAUGCGAUGCAUGUUGUGUGCACCAAAACAAACUCCACCCUGAAGAAACACGUAGCGGUCUCGGUUUUAUGAAGCAGAAGAAAAAGAAAAGACAACUUGAACUGCUCCUGUAGGCCGUGUGUGAUUUUAUCCACUCUGAUGUUCAAGAGCUGGAGAGAGGUAAUGCAGAGGACCCAAAGCAGGAAAAAAGUCCCAGAAGCAGGACGCGUGUGAAGAUAAGAUCAUCACAGACUUAUGAGUGUGCACUACGAUGGUCAACACUUUUUAAUUCUGUUGUUAAAUCUGAAAUGUGUGGGCUGAACUCAUUUAGGUCAUGUAUAAACAAAAUGUCACCGUACUGCCGUACCCAAUCAUACGUUUUCCUGCUAGUUAUCUUUCUGAAUGACAAAUGUUACUGCAAGUUCAUGUUUAUGCUGAUAUCACAGAACUUGUGGUGUCUGUGUAACAAUAAUAUAAUAGUCUAAUUA